UACAGAGGGGGCCAGCGUUAUUCGGAAUUACUGGGCGUAAAGCGCGUGUAGGCGGCUGCGUAAGUCGGGCGUGAAAUCCCAUGGCUCAACCAUGGAAGUGCACCCGAAACUGCGUAGCUAGAGUCCUGGAGAGGAAGGUGGAAUACUUGGUGUAGAGGUGAAAUUCGUAGAUAUCAAGUGGAACACCGGUGGCGAAGGCGGCCUUCUGGACAGUGACUGACGCUGAGACGCGAAAGCGUGGGGAGCAAACAGG
rnacentral:rRNA from 1 species